CACUUUUCAUUAGUAUAAAAUACCAGAAUACAUAAACUUGGAUUCAACAAAGCGACAAAUUUAUCUUGGAAUUCCUUCCUUAUCUCUUGAACGUCAAGGAAUACAUAAAACCAUUUAUCUUGGAAUUCCUUCCUCAUCUCUUGAACGUUAAGGAAUACAUAAAACCAUCUCCCCAAAAAAAAGAAAAAGAAAAAAAAAUUCUUUCUUGGCUACAAUAUUUGUAACUCUUGAAGCAAUACAUGAUCAGUCGUCAUUCAUUCUUCCAAAUCAAAUGUUACGUGUCUCUUGAACCAUCUAAACGUAUAAAAUAUGAAUUAAGAAUCUGAAAGAAUCAUUCAACCUAGCAAACGAUGAUCCAGGAUUAAGCCACAACCUGUUCUUG
rnacentral:lncRNA from 1 species